rnacentral:misc_RNA from 1 species
GUGAAUCAUCGAAUUUUUGAACGCAAAUUGCACUCUCCUCGGAGAGUAUGCCUGUUUGAGGGUCAGCCUAUAAAAAAUCGACAUCGUUGCUGUUUCGCGGUGGCGCUCGUCGGAAAUUGGGUCAUCUUAAAUCCUUUUGGUUUUUAAGCGACUUAAAAUUUUCUUUUUGGUUCCAUGAACGUUUCUAAGAUUUAUUUCUUACCCCUUUUAGGGAUUCGUUUUUUAUUGGACGUGCCAAUAAUAC